GAAUAUAUACAGGGGCUCAGCCAACCUCCAAAAUAAUUGAUGCUGGAUCAAUGGAAGAGCAAAGGUCCGGAGACUUGACUCAUCAGCUUUGGAGAUCCAUUCAACACUUGGCUCCAUCUAGAUUUCUGGUUUUGCUUUAUGUAUAUAGAAUCUGUAGCUUUAUUUUGUUUUUCUUCGUAAGUUCUCUUGAUUUUCUUUUAAUUAUUCCACCG
rnacentral:lncRNA from 1 species